rnacentral:rRNA from 1 species
GACAGAGGAGGCAAGCGUUGUUCGGAAUCACUGGGCGUAAAGCGCGCGCGGGCGGAUCGUUAAGCGGCUUGUGAAAUCCCACGGCUCAACCGUGGAACUGCAGGGCGAACUGUCGGGCUUGAGGUCGGGAGAGGUGGCUGGAACUCUAGGUGGAGCGGUGAAAUGCGUAGAGAUCUAGAGGAACGCCAGUGGCGAAAGCAGGGCACUGGGCCGAUACUGACGCUGAGGCGCGAAAGAGUGGGGAGCAAACAGG